AGAACCUUCUGAACUGAGGAGAGGGAUUUGGUGGAAAAGCGGUUGGUGCGUUUGGUGGGGAUGGCAGGGCUGUUGCUGCAGCUGAACUCGUAGUCGCUUGGGGAGAUGAAGGUGCUGUGGUGGUGGGAUCGGCAUGUGAAGAAGGAGGUCUGCAUGUUGUAGUAGUGAUGGUUGAGGAUGAGGUUGUUAAGUGCAAGUUUCCCACGUUUGAGCAUGAGAUGGAACUCCACCAUUAUUUUGCUCUUGGCUAUGCCCUUUCUCAGCAUGAAGAACAACACGCGUACCAUGUUCCAUACCUUCUUUGCCACCACCGGCCUGCUUGCCUCAAUUUCCAUCACUGUUUAUUUGUUUUUCUUCUUUUCUUUUUUA
rnacentral:lncRNA from 1 species